UACGUAGGGUCCGAGCGUUGUCCGGAAUUAUUGGGCGUAAAGGGCUCGUAGGCGGUUUGUCACGUCGGGAGUGAAAACUCAGGGCUCAACCCUGAGCGUGCUUCCGAUACGGGCAGACUAGAGGUAUGCAGGGGAGAACGGAAUUCCUGGUGUAGCGGUGGAAUGCGCAGAUAUCAGGAGGAACACCGGUGGCGAAGGCGGCAUCCUGGACCGACACUGACGCUGAGGAGCGAAAGCCAGGGGAGCAAACGGG
rnacentral:rRNA from 1 species